AGGACAUGCUCUCAAUCCUGAUCAAAAAGACUGGACCAGGUAUCAACUUUGGCAACCCACAAAGUCAGUAACUCCUUGGGGCCACCAAUGUCACGUAAACUCAAAAAUUAUGGCAUUUUGAAUCUGAUUUCCAUGAAUAAAGCAUGUAAUUGUACGAGGGUGUAGAGAUUUUGCAUUUGCUUUUCUGAAGAGAACUUUGAAUGCCAGCUUUGUAGUCUGUUUUCAUAAAACUUAUUUUCUCAAUGACUUUGUUGUGGACUGCUGUUGAUAUUGGUUUUAGUUGCUCAAGUACUAAUGGUGUUAUCGAGCUGGAAACGGCUGCUAGGGAAAUAGUGUUGAGCUCGAGAGACUAUAAAUCUUCACAUUUUGUGUUAAAUUCUGUCCUAAGAAGGUGGAAAAUCUAGUAGAAUUUUUUUUUUCUUAAAUAUCUAGGAAAAGAAUUGAAUAACCAUAAAAGGCUUGAAAAUUUUUCAAAAUUUCAUUUCUAUGUUUGCUGUGUUCCCAUCACCCCUCGUAAAAAUCUCUUUUUGAGCAAGUCUAGAGACCUCUUCAACAAUUCAUAGAAAAGAAAAUGGAUGAGAAUGAAAAUUGUUAUAGAAGUCUUUUUUCAAUUAGGAGACUGACUCCUAUAGGAUAUCCUCGUAAGAAAAGGAUUUCUAAUCCUUGUAGAAGUAGAAUUUCAAUCCACA
rnacentral:misc_RNA from 1 species